rnacentral:rRNA from 1 species
AUGAACGCUAGCUACAGGCUUAACACAUGCAAGUCGCGGGGUAACAUCUGGUAGAGCUUGCUCUUCCAGGAUGACGACCGGCGCACGGGUGAGUAACGCGUAUCCAACCUGGCCCAUACCACGGGAUAGCCCGUCGAAAGGCGGAUUAAUACCGUAUGCUGUCAUUAAGAUGCAUAUAUUGAUGACGAAGGACUGGCGGUGAUGGAUGGGGAUGCGUCUGAUUAGCUUGUUGGCGGGGUAACGGCCCACCAAGGCGACGAUCAGUAGGGGUUCUGAGAGGAAGGUCCCCCACAUUGGAACUGAGACACGGUCCAAACUCCUACGGGAGGCAGCAGUGAGGAAUAUUGGUCAAUGGAGGUAACUCUGAACCAGCCAAGUAGCGUGCAGGAUGACGGCCCUAUGGGUUGUAAACUGCUUUAUAAGGGAAUAAAGUGAGUCUCGUGAGACUUUUUGCAUGUACCUUAUGAAUAAGGACCGGCUAAUUCCGUG